GAAAGAAAGCAGCAGGGGGAAACUAGAAUAAGCUUAUGUAGAAACUGUUGUGAUAGAAGUGGUCUGAUUUCUGCUGGAGCUAUAGUUAACUUCCACUUUAAUGUCAAUCCGUUGGAUUCUUAUCCUUGUACAUUAUCUCACGUGAUGCACCGAUCAAAUUCUAGUUAUCCACGUUAGUUUUUCAAAACAAGUUUUUUAUGUGAAAAGGAUAAAAAGAGAAGACUUUUGAAAGAGCAAAAUCCUUUGUCCAAAUUAGCAGAUAAAUUUUGAAAAUCUGAUUGUUCCUAAACAAUUGAUUAGUUGGAGAACGAAAUUUUGUCCCCGAUUGGCAGACAAAAAUCUGAUUGCUUUUUAAAUAAUUGAUGUUAAAAGCAAAUGAAGUAAUUGAGCAACAAAUGGUAGGGUUAACUUAUUUUCAAGAAUAGUUCCUACUUGUCCUUUUUGAUGAGGUCUCUUCUUUAGGUCUUGAGUUGGGAUAAGUUUUCAAAGUGUCUACUCCAUACCCUAACAGUUCUAUUAUACGAAUUUUCACCUACCUUUAUAAAAGUGGUAUUAUUGAAACGUGAAGCCCUUGCCUUGUGUUGGGAAAACUGGGGAGAUUGAUUUCUGAUGGUGACUAAUAGAAUUGGAGUUCUACGUAGAAGUAUGAAGUGAAAACAAUAGCAGCUACUCUAACUUAGGCCUUACUAAUGUUUAAACUUUAGCUAGAAAACUUGGUUAUUCUUGUUUUAGUUUUUGUUGUCACUUAGCUUACGUGGCAUUUCACGUUCGACAAGUUCUUGACUUUAACUGAAGUAGAACAUCUAUGGAACAUUGACAAUCGAGCCAAAUAGCCAAUGGGCUCUUCAAUUAAUUUACACUUCAAUCUAGGUUUAAUUUGUACAAGUUUCUCGAGGCCUAUCUGCUAAUUGUGAUUGUUCUUUGUCCCUAAUUAAAAAAGAAAGAAAGAAAGAAAACUGAAAGAUGGGAAAAGAAAUCAACUGGUAUAGAAAAAAUGAAAAAUUUGAUGUAUAAGUCACGGGGGUUUGUGGUUGUCUACACUCCAGUCAGCUAUAGUUUACUUUCAACAUUGGCAUAGUUUUAUUGAAUUCUUAUCUCUGUACAUUGUUGCAUGUCAUCCAUCGAAUUAAAUUGCUUGUAAUGCAUAUAUUAGUUUUCGCCGAUCACAAAAAAAAUGCAUAUAUUAGUUUUCCGACAUGAACUUUUUAGGAUAAAAGGGACUUUUUUUCAAAGAACAAAAUUCUUGUCCAAAUUAACAGACAAGCUUUUUCGGAAGGCAAGUGUUCCUCAACUAAAGAAUGAGGUUUCUGUCUUAUGUUUUAUGGACGUGUCUAAAUGGAAUUUCGUAUCAACACUUAGAUGAAUGUAGAGAUUGGUGUUACAUGGACUAUUGUAUUCUUCUAACAAUACUUGUGCACGAUUAUGGGUGUGGGAUAUUUGUUUGGCGCCCUAACUAAUUUAGGAAUGUGGAUACUAUCUACAUGAUGUUUGAAGGAAAAGAAGCUUGCAUUGGCUAGAAAACAAACAUUUCUUGUUUGGGAGAGGUGCAACAGAAGUUCAGCAAUCAGGGAGUGUUAACAGUAACUGAAACUAAUGUGAGAUCAAGAGUUGGGUCAUGGAAGAAUUUUCGUAAAAAUGUGGAGAAUGUUUGGCUUUGUGAUCCAUGGAGGAUCUCCUAAUAGAAUCCUGGGAGGGGGGAGUAUGUAGGUUGCUGGGUUGUGUCUGUUUCCUUUUCUUUUUUUUUUGUUCUGGUUAUUUUUUGAUAUUGUUGGAAGUUCAGUUUUGUUUAGAGCAGUGAGGGCAGCCUUCUCUUUGUGAUGUUUGCCUCUGGCUUUGUUUUUUUGCUAUAAAAUGAAUCAUUUACGGGAAAAAAUUGUAAAUAAUAUGCGCUCUUUAAUAUCUUUUGGUACAAGCAGAUAUCUUAGUCUUUUGUGAAAUAUUAUGUGAGCAUAUUAUACAAUAUACCAUACAAAUAACGUAUACACAGGAUGUGUCUCCGUAUCUGUAUUUGUCCUUAGAUGAUUAUCCAAUGCCCUUUACACGUGUCUAACAUGGAGUACUUAAUUAACUGAGAAAUAGGAUUAGGGAAAAGGACGUAAAUCUGUGGCUCAUUAAUUUGUGAAAUGGACCUUAACCCGUCCCAUCAAGCCUUGUCAAUUGUGUAUUAAACUUGUACAGGUCUCUUUCCAUCUGGGUUUGUAGGGCCAUAACACAAGCUGUUAUUACAAGCUAUGUGCUUUAAGUCAAAUAAACUUCUCCAUAUUCUUGAAAUGAUAAUGAUAAGUAUAAUUAUAAUUAUAAUUAUGAUAUUAAUUAAGUAAUAGUAAUAACUAUUUCCUAGUUUGACAAGUAUCCUAUUCAUAGUAAAGAAUAUAAAUCUUGUUUGGCUGAAGAAAGGGAAAUGAUAUAUUAGCGCGCGCUGACGCUCUUCCCUCUCACAGGUUGUAGAAGGACCAAAUUACCCUUUUCUGGUCGAAAUGGACAUUUUUUUUUUCCCAUCAGCAGCAUCUGACCUAGGGACCGUGUAGUACAAGGGUGCACUACAAGGGUAUGAUACGCAAUCUAAACUGUCUAUCUUUGUGGUCAAUGGUCCAGGUUUCAAAAAGUAUUUUACAAGUAAGAUACCUAUAUAUUACCUAUAGAAUACCUUUAAUUUAAAUCAUUAAAAAUACUUUUAAAUGGCUUGGAUUAUGUGCUACACUCUUGUAGCGCAGGCCUGUGCACUAAAGGGUCCAUGGAUCCAUCAGCAUCCCUAAGGAAAGUAUAAUGUACUUUUUUGCCAAAAUAACUAACGAGAUGACACACUGACUAUGAGGAUUGUGCUGAAGCAUAUCUCCCGCAGCAUAAGGUGGCCACCGGCCAGGUAUUAACGGCUACAGGGGUUGCAUCUAAUUUUGUAAGCAAUUUAACUUACAAACUUGGGCUUGACUAUGACUUUUUUUUUUAAUCAAUUCCUCGUGUCAACGAACCUGACCAAACACGUUCUUUCUGGACUUUAUUUCACUUUAUACAAAUUUUGCCUAUUGUGUUUGUUCCUCUGUUACACAUACACACACACGUAUUUAUAUAUAAGUGCACACGCAUAUAUGUGCAGCCAAUGACCGAGGUAUGCCAUCCAAGCACGAAUACCCUCAUUCAAGAGAAUAUUUUGGUGCAGAAACCCUCAAAUUCAGGAUCUUUCGCUUCACUAAUUUACUGAGAAACGAAGUCAUAGGCAUGUAUAGGUGGUCCAUUUUCUGGAGUUC